UAGGGAAUAUUGGACAAUGGGUGAGAGCCUGAUCCAGCCAUGCCGCGUGCAGGAAGAAGGCGUUAUGCGUUGUAAACUGCUUUUUGCCAGGGGAUAAAAAGACCGUGCGCGGUUAAUUGAAGGUACCUGGUGAAUAAGCCACGGCUAACUACGUGCCAGCAGCCGCGGUAAUACGUAGGUGGCAAGCGUUGCCCGGAUUUAUUGGGUUUAAAGGGUGCGUAGGUGGCCCUGUAAGUCAGUGGUGAAAUAUCUCAGCUUAACUGAGAGGGUGCCAUUGAUACUGCAGGGCUUGAGUACAGAUGAGGUAGGCGGAAUUGACGGUGUAGCGGUGAAAUGCAUAGAUAUCGUCAAGAACACCGAUAGCGAAGGCAGCUUACCAAGCUGUAACUGACACUGAGGCACGAAAGUGUGGGGAUCAAACAGGAUUAGAUACCCCCGUAGUCCCUGAGCGGGCUGGCAAGGCGCAU
rnacentral:rRNA from 1 species